GGCCUCUUAGUACAACGGAUAGUACAUGGGUUUCCGAAGCCCACGAUACAGGUUCGAUUCCUGUAGAGGCCA
rnacentral:tRNA from 1 species